CUUGGUUGAUCCUGUCAGUAGCACAUGCUUGUCUCAAAGGUUAAGCCAUGCAUGUAUAGGUACACACUGCCGGUACAGUGAAACUGUGAAUGGCUCAUCAAAACCAUUAUGGUUCCAUUGAUAGCUCCAUCUGUCACUUGGACAACUGUAGUACUUCUAGAGCUCAUGCAUGCUGAGGAGCGUCAAGCUCCUGAGAUGCAUGCAUUCAUUAGACCAAGACCAAUACAGGCUCGCCCGGCCGCUUCAGUAACUCUAGAUCACCUUGGCCCGAUCAGACGUCCCAAUGACGGUGGCAAUACAUUCAAAGGUCUGCCCUAUCAACUUUUGAUCAUACUUUAUGUGCUUAUCAUGAUAACCACGGGUAACAGGGAUUCAGGGUUGAUUCCGGAGAGGGAGCCAGAGAAACAGCUACCACUCCAAGGAAGCCAGCAGGCAUGGAAAUCACCCACUUUUGAUGCCCAGUAAUUGGAAUGAGUGCACUUUAAAUCCUUUUAACGAGGAUCCAUUGGAGGGAAAGUCUGGUGCCAGUAACCACAGUAAUUCUAGCUCCAAUAGCGUAUGUUAAAGUUGCUGCAGUGAAAAAUGUCAUAGUUAUAUCCUGGAAUUGAGCUGGUGGUCUGCUGCGAGGCGAGCUACCACGUGUCACAGCCCUUGCUCUUGGAGCUGCCUUGAUGCUCUUGGGUGAUUGUCCUGGGGGUUCAAAGCAUUUUCAAAAAAUUAAAGUGUUCAAAGCCGUGUUUAACAUGUCCUCAAUGCAUCAGCUAGGUAUAAUGGAAUGGGACUCUGGUUCUAUUUUGAUGGUUUUCAGAACUGUGGCCAUGAUUGAGAGGGACAGCCAGGGGCAAUCUUAUUGUGCCGCUAAAGGUGAAAUUCUUUGACCCGCGCAAGAUGAACCUAAGUGAAAGCUUCCCAUGACCCAUGAGCAGCUUCAGGAAACCAAAGUAUUUGAGUUCCAGGAGGAGUAUGAUUGCAAAGCUCAAACUUAAAGGAAUUGAUGGAAGGUCCCCACCAGGAUUGAUGCCUGUGGCUUAAUUUGACUCAACAUGGGAAGCCUCACCUGCCCCAAACAUGGAAAGGAUUGACAGAUGGAUAGCUCACUCGAUUCUGUGGGUGGUGGUGCAUGGCCGUUCUUAGUUGGUGGAGUGAUUUGUCUGGUUAAUUCUGAUAAUAAACAAGACUUCUCCAUGCUCAUUGGUUACGUGACCCCCAGCGGUCGGCGUUCAACUUCUUAGAGGGACAAGUGGCGUUCAGCACACAAGACCAAGCAAUAACAGGUCUGUGAUGCCGGUUGAUGUCCGGGUCCCUGCCCUAUCUACACACUGCCCAUUGCAAGUGCCAAGGAUAAGAUCAAACAAGGUUCCCGUACUUGAACCUACAGAAGGAUCAUGAACGGCAGAGCAGCCAGAGAAACGUCUCCCAGAGCCUAGUGUGCCCUCAAACUACAGUCCGGCCAGCAGAGCGGUACGCAGCCGGGGCACCUGGCAGACCUGUAUCCCUUCCACCUGAGGGGUUCCAGGAGGAGUAUGAUUGCAAAGCUCGAACUUAAAGGAAUUGAUGGAAGGUCCCCACCAGGAUUGAUGCCUGUGGCUUAAUUUGACUCAACAUGGGAAGCCUCACCUGCCCCAAACAUGGAAAG
rnacentral:rRNA from 1 species